rnacentral:rRNA from 1 species
GAUGAACGCUGGCGGCGUGCCUAAUACAUGCAAGUCGAGCGAACAGACGAGGAGCUUGCUCCUCUGACGUUAGCGGCGGACGGGUGAGUAACACGUGGAUAACCUACCUAUAAGACUGGGAUAACUUCGGGAAACCGGAGCUAAUACCGGAUAAUAUAUUGAACCGCAUGGUUCAAUAGUGAAAGACGGUUUUGCUGUCACUUAUAGAUUGAUCCGCGCCGAAUUAGCUAGUUGGUAAGGUAACGGCUUACCAAGGCAACGAUGCGUAGCCGACCUGAGAGGGUGAUCGGCCACACUGGAACUGAGACACGGUCCAGACUCCUACGGGAGGCAGCAGUAGGGAAUCUUCCGCAAUGGGCGAAAGCUUGACGGAGCAACGCCGCGUGAGUGAUGAAGGUCUUCGGAUCGUAAAACUCUGUUAUUAGGGAAGAAAAAAUGUGUAAGAAACUAUGCACGUCUUGACGGUACCUAAUCAGAAAGCAACGGCUAACUACGUG